rnacentral:rRNA from 1 species
AUUGAACGCUGGCGGCAUGCUUUACACAUGCAAGUCGAGCGGCAGCGCGGGGGCAACCCUGGCGGCGAGCGGCGAACGGGUGAGUAAUGCAUCGGAACGUACCCUGGAGUGGGGGAUAACGCCGCGAAAGCGGCGCUAAUACCGCAUAUGCUCUGAGGAGGAAAGUGGGGGACCGCAAGGCCUCACGCUCUGGGAGCGGCCGAUGUCCGAUUAGCUAGUUGGUGGGGUAAAGGCUUACCAAGGCGACGAUCGGUAGCUGGUCUGAGAGGAUGAUCAGCCACACUGGGACUGAGACACGGUCCAGACUCCUACGGGAGGCAGCAGUGGGGAAUAUUGCACAAUGGGGGAAACCCUGAUGCAGCCAUGCCGCGUGUGUGAAGAAGGCCUUCGGGUUGUAAGCACUUUCAGCGAGGAGGAAAGGUUAGGGCGAGGCUAAUACCUGUCAGCUGUGACGUUACUCG